GGAAGAAGGAACACGGCUAAUGAUGCUCGGUGGGGCAAUUCGCCCUUUUAUUUCCUGAUGUAUUCCCUGACUGAUGGAAAAUCACUCUUGGCAAACACAAAACUUACCUUGCUGCCAAAAGGUUGUUAAACUGCAAUCAAAAGCACUUAGUAGGAAUGGAUCUGUCCCUAUUAUGAGAUUUGAACUCCUGACAUCUUUAUCCAGUGGAACUUGAGUGCCCAGGACACAACCAAGAGGGGAUUCUGAGAUCGUUUUUCAACCCCUGCGACUGUGAGCCAGUUGCAGCAUGAGGAAAAGCCCUCCAACACCCCAAUGUACAGGAAAGAGAAGACAGAUGACAGUAGCUGUCCUCCUUCAAUACUGAGGAAAAGGCCACCUGUGGACCAGGCUGUGGGGGAAAAGCGGAAAGCAGAGAGAAGGGUUCGAUUUCGUGAGCCGGAAGAAGUCAUUGAGCAUGUUAUUUCCUGCUGUGACUACGUAGUGGUACAUGACAGGUCUUCACCUGGAUUGCCUAUGCUCCUGGGGCUAUCAUUUUGUGUGGUACUGAUCCUGGCUGCAAGUCUCUUCUACACCAGCAUGAAGCAAGAUACCAAAGUCCUGGAAGAGUUUCAAUCCCGACUUGUUAUCUUCUUUCUUCAGAUAAGACACAUUGCUCAUAGAUGCUGGACCUGGUUUACAAGGUAGUAGCGAUGUCCUCCAUUUGCAGGAAGGCAGCACUGAUAAUCACCACGUGUCAGAGAGAACCUCCCAGCCCCCUCAGUCCACAUGUAAGGAACACAUGAGUAUCCACCUUGAAGAGCAAAAAAAAGCCACCCAUUUUGUGCACUUUCUAACAUCUACUUGUUCUCUCUUUUUUUAAAUAUAUAUUUUUUAAUAUUUCUGAAUGAUAGUAGUAGCACUAAGAGGUCCCACCAAACUGAUGUUCCAUCACCCUUAGCAGCAAACAAGGGUAUGAGUUUUGUCCCCUGAAGAGACUAUAAACUGUUGCUAUAAGGAGCAGAGGCAGAGAGAGAAAUUCAUUGAUCUGUGCACACAGAAGCACAUUGAAUAGAAGUCUCCUGAGUCUCAGGUCAAAGAAUAAACACCAAACCAUUUUUCUCCUCAAGCCUCUUACGUGCUAUUCUGCAAAGUUUAACAUAAAGCUGAACUAUUGCACAAACACUGCUCCGCUGGCCAAAGGCUUGGCAAGCUGCUAUAUUUAUAUACUUGAAAUGAUUGCUAGUAAAAGUCUCAGCAAAUGGCUUUCUUGUUUCCCUUCAUGCAUUUUUUCCUCUGUGGGCAAAAGCUGUUCCUUAAUGUUUCACUUGACUCCCAGGUGUGAAAAAUAACGUGAGAACUCAUUUAAAUACUAAACAGUGCAUUUGCCUAACACAAUACAGGGCAGCAUUGAAUCCCAGGUUAAUUAUCAAAUCAGAACUUAAUCCUCUUGGUUUGAUUCAGUCCAUAAACCCAAGAUUUAUGGUUGUGUUUGUCUUCAGUCGAAGCUUUCACAUUUAUGCCUGCAUGUUCAAGGGUAUUAUAGACUGUUUACAAAGGUGUUGGGUCAAAGCCCUGUUAUCUCUGUCGUAGCACCAUACAGCGUACCUCUCUGGAGGGAACCAAGCAUAUGCAAUCUUAUGAGCUUCAGCUAUGCUUUGUUCUUAGAAUCACAUAAUUGCUCAGGUUGGAAAAGACCUUCAAGAUCAUGAAGUCAACCACAGACAGAAACAGCAUGAUCCAUUUUCCAGGCCCUACAUUCUUGUCAAGUAAUACUUGAUAUAUGCAUAAGGGUGACAGCAGAGCCCAUAGAAGCCGAAGAAAAGAAAGGAAACAGUGGAGAAGAGGGAAGAGAUGCCUGCAAGACCUUGGCUUUAACUCCUCUGCCACAGUAAUGCACCAGAAGGAAAAAAAAAAAAGAUUCCUAACCAACUUUCAAAAAAAGCAAGCUUGUCCAGGCUGCCCAAAAAUUUAAACCAGACAGAGGGUAAAAGAAAACCAAUUACAUAGCCUUCACCUAGAGCAGAGUGGGCAGCAAGUUGACCAAUAACGAGCACAAAAAUAUAUGUAUUUGUAGUCAUAAGAACUGACUUGAGCAGCCAUUCUCAUGCUCUGAAGGCAACAGCAAUUGCACCUGGGGAGCUGCUGGUCUGGGACACACAGGGCACUGCAGGAGCGUUUGGCUCAGUGGCUCUUUAUGCAAACCACUCAUGCACCCCAGCCCUCAGGGUAAGUCCCCUGAGGCUUCCCUGCUCUCUCUCUCUCUCUCCACUCAGCCCACUGUUGGGAUAAUAAAGAAGAGGUUUUAAACUUAUGCUCUGGUGAAUCUAUGGUGGGAAGGUUUUUUCCGGAAGAGUCAAUUCCUGCACUGCAAGUUGUGGUAUAUUGCAACAUAAAAAGGCAAAGCCUGACAGGAGCUGGAUCACUUAGAGGGAGAGCAGUACCACAAAUCCUUCCUGCGUGCUUCAAUGCAGUUUCAGUAACUUGAAAAGAAGCCAAGGGGUUAAAAUUAACCAGGAACUCCUUUUAGGACUGUAAGGGAUGAUAUGAAAUCCAUAUGCAUGUUAAUAUGCAUGGGGCCUCCUUCUUCUAGCCCUGCUCAAGGUGGAAAAUAGCCAUGCUGACCUUGCUGUGCCCAGGUUUAUCAGUGUGAGAGGCCCACACUGAGAAUGGCUAUCACAUCCAGGUUGGCAAGGGAAAUAAAGCAGAGGAGCAGCUAUUCCUGGCUCCGGCUAGGACAGCUUUGGGCACAGGCAAUAGCAGCACUUGAGUUGUCUGCAGCUUCCCCAUGUUUUUGGGAGGCUUCCUGGGCUGGGAUUCUUUGCUGCGAUCAGUCAGGUAUUUGGCAAAAUGCAGAGAGCCAAAAGAAUGCAUUGUAGAGUACCAGCAGACAGCCUGAAACAAAUAAAAGCUAAAAUCUGUCCCUGGGAGAGCAGUGACCUUUUACAGCUGAAGAAUCUGCAGCUGAGAAAGCCAGUGCUUCUGUGCAAGUGAAUGAAGCAGGUCAAUAGCCAGGGUGGAAAUAGGAGUUAAAGUCCUGACCUCUAGGCCUGCCUUUAAUUACCAAUGCACAGCUCCACUGUAGACUUACCUGUUUUAUUUUCUCCUUGCACUGAAGCACUUGUCCCCUCCAACCAUUCUGCUUAAACACAGCACCAUUCUCAUACUCUGCUCUUUAUCCAUCAUACAUCUGUGCAUGCUGCUGUGAGUCAGAGAGGAUUUCUCCUUGCUCUUGUACAACACUGCUUUCUUAGGUGUGACACCUUGGUGAGUUUGGAGGAGAUGACCUCUGAAUUUAUACAGAAUGGGUUGUGUUGGUUACUGUUUCCCUUGCAGGCUGUGCUGGGUAAUAUUUUCCUCCAGUAUGACUCCCGAGAAUUGCUUUAUAAGGAGGAAAACAAACGGAGAGGGAUGUAAUAAUGAUAAUGUAAUAAAUGGUCAAACGUUCACAUGAAUUCACUGCGGUGCCAACAUGAAGACUAACUAAAACUCAGCUAUCUCUGAGCAAUUAUUUAGUCUAUCGUGGAAAUGUCAUUUUUUUGCAUCAAGUUGCAGAGAGGAGCGACAGACUCUUGCAGCAAGUUUUGAAGAAGGCUGCAAAUAAGUAGGCUUGCUAUGAG
ensembl:lncRNA